CUAGUAUAUAUACAACUCUACCAACUUGAUUUUCUUCUUCAAGGCCGUUGUGGAAUAGAGACAAACAGCAAUAAAGAGCAGAGGGCAUACUAUGAGUAAACACACCAAGAUCUCUUGAAGACAGUCACAUUUAGUACCAUUUGGUUCUCAGACUUUGGGGCCUCACAGAUGAGUUACUCACAAAUCAGUUUCACAGAUUUGAAAACAGAUGAGAAAAAAAAACAACAGAAGCCAAAGAUUGGAUGGCAUAUGUGAAGUCAACCCCAGAGCUGAUGUUUCAGAGUCAGGAGCUGAACUUAGACUGGCCUGGUUGCAGAGUUCAUGUUCAUUCCGCUUGCCUGUGAGCUCCACAUACAUCAAACCUUCCAGGCAGUCGUUUUGACUCUCCUACAAUGUGGAAGGAAGUGGUGUUUAGUGCGGCCAUCGAAACCUCUGUAAUGUACCCUGUAGCAGUAGUGUGGGCUGAGACAACAUUCAGAGUCCCGGUUCUAGAAGGAGCUGUGGCUCAUACAAUCUUGCAGAUGAACUUACUCAUAGAGAUCAAAAUAAAAAUUAUUU